rnacentral:rRNA from 1 species
GACGAACGCUGGCGGCGUGCUUAACACAUGCAAGUCGAACGGAAAGGCCCUGCAUUUGUGGGGUGCUCGAGUGGCGAACGGGUGAGUAACACGUGAGUAACCUGCCCUUGACUUUGGGAUAACUUCAGGAAACUGGGGCUAAUACCGGAUAGGAGCUCCUGCUGCAUGGUGGGGGUUGGAAAGUUUCGGCGGUUGGGGAUGGACUCGCGGCUUAUCAGCUUGUUGGUGGGGUAGUGGCUUACCAAGGCUUUGACGGGUAGCCGGCAUGAGAGGGUGACCGGCCACAUUGGGACUGAGAGACGGCCCAGACUCCUACGGGAGGCAGCAGUGGGGAAUAUUGCACAAUGGGCGGAAGCCUGAGGCAGCAACGCCGCGUGCGGGAUGACGGCCUUCGGGUUGUAAACCGCUUUCGCCUGUGACGAAGCGUGAGUGACGGUAAUGGGUAAAGAAGCACCGGCUAACUACGUG